GACGUUUGCCUGAAGGCGGCAUCAUGUCGGUAGCGUCCCGGUGAAGUUUAAUCGAGUGAAACGGCGCUACGUGUCCUAAAUAAACCGUUAUGUUCCGUUAUCGUACAAACGAUAGUUCUUAUUCAACAUAAUACACCUGUAGGGACACCGAGGACCGUUAUGUCCAACAAUGCUGACACCGACCGGCUCCACCCUCCACCUCUACGGGUGGGCGGCGGCAGGAAACUCCGGGGCUUUCCACCGGGCCCGAGGCCAUUCGGCUAAUCGGUACAGCUAACGGUACCGGUGUCUGUCCGUUAACCGGUGCAAGUAAACGUGUUCCCCGGGACAGUGGACCUUGUGCUUUCAUGUAUUAAGUGUAUCUAAAUGCAUCACCUGAUUAUUAAUCAUUGAUUCUGGUUCUAGUCAUUUAAAGGUCCGUUAGCUUCGAAAAUAUACAAAACUUAUUUCAACGAUGAUCAACCGGGAGAACUAAUUUACACAUUUUGUAUUCAUCAUAAGUCGUGCGAUGUUAACUGUUCUUCAAAUAUAGAGCAGAAGCUAUGACCCAAACUCCACCUGACGUACGUCACAUUUUGAAGAAACAACGUUUAUUAGAAAAUAUGCUGGAAAUCGAAGGGCUUCAGGUGACGUCACAUCCGUUCUUUAAAUCGGCAUAAUCGAUCCCGUAAAGCGGCCCAGCUUCGGAUGGCGGGUCUGUUUAUUUACAUGUUUACUCCGCUCCACGUCGACUAGAGGAGCAUGAAGACGCGGAGAAAAGGGUGAAACGUGUAAUAAAGACAAAGUAUUAUGAACACAAGGGACGUUUAUGCCGAAUUAAAAAUCGGCCUCUUCGUUUUCACAAACAUUUGAACUGAUAUUACAUCUAAUUCGUCUCCUUCUGCUGGGAAAGUUUAACUGACGUUUUGUUAGGGGUUCGGUCUAUGGUCUCUGCGGGAGGAGAACGCUGAACUUCUGGACGAACCCGUGUCCGGUAACUACCGCCGCUGCUUUAGCCUCGUACCUUGCUGCGGAUCUGACCAGAAGUGGACACUUUUCGGAUGAGUUUCUGUGGUGUUCCGGGCUCCUGCUCCGGUUCACUGUCCGACGACUCGUCCGGGAACCGGGCCGGAGCAGACUCCGUUAAGUCCGCCAUCCUGUGCUCAGACCCCCGGGAGGAACUGGAGAGAGAGCGCCCCCCCGAGGCGGAGAGCGGGGAGCAAUUCGGGGUUUGGUGUCUUGCUCAGGGACACUUGGACAUGGGACAUGGAGCAACCGGGGCCCAAACCACCAACCCUCUCUACCCCUGCGCCACGUCGACCCCGACAUCAGGCUCCUAGUACUUUAGCUCCAUCUUGCUCCCAUCUGACUCCAUUCUCCCAGAAUAUCACAGGCCUGUCUAAAUGCUGUGCAGCAAAAGGCGCUUCAACCGGCUUUUUCUUCAGUGAUGGCUGUGGCAAUGGAUCACUUCUACACGGCCAUCAUGGAGUCCGUCCUCUGCUCCUCCAUCAGCGUCUGGUACGCUGCAGCCACAGCCAAGGACGAGGGCAGGCUGCAGCGUGUCCUCCGCUCUGCAGAGAGGCUGAUCGGCUGCAAUUGUCCAUCAGGACCAAGACCUCCCACCACAAAAACAGUUUCUUCCAAUUCCGAGUCCCCCACUGACCCAGACACUACAUCCCAGGACAUUUGCACAGUAGUCCACAGUAGUCAAACUAAGGACUCACCUCUUCAGACUCUACCUCGACUAAAAGACUAACAAAUUGUACCACUUAAAUUGUACUUAUAACGCCACUUAUCUAUAGCAAGUUGUAAAUUGGCUUAUUUGAUGAAAUUGCACUUUCUUGUUUCUUGUUCUUCUGAGUUUGUACCUUAUGGUUGAAUGCACUUAUUGUAAGUCGCUUUGGAUAAAAGCGUCAGCUAAACGUGGGAUGUAAUGUAGUCCAACGUACCACAUGUCUCAACGUACUUAUCUGUUUAUAUUGUUAAUAUCUUUACUUUUUACUUUCAUUUUAUUUGUCUCAUAAAACUGCACCAAUCACCAGAACAAAUUCAAUGUAACAUACGUGGCAAUAAACGGCUUCUGAUUCUGGAUGUCAGAAGCAUCGAUCAAUAACUAGUUGGUCAUCAAUCAGACAAACAGAAAUGUUCAUUUUAAAAUGAAAUAUUUCUAAAAUGUGAUGACAAUCUCAUAUCAAUGAACCUCCUGAAAGUCUUUCAUUCAAAGAGUCACUUACAGUCACGUUAUUAGAAUUUUAUUUUGUACUUUCACUCUUGUCUUAAAAAGUACAAUUAUUAUCCAGUAAAUCAGACCAUGUCUCACUUUAAAAGAGUCAAGAAGUAACAUAUUAAACAAACGGAUAUGUCUUUGUGUUUGUCUGUCCUCCUGUCCUCCUGUCCAUGGGACAUCUAGUAGUUCAGGCCUCAGUAGGAGACUCGUCAUCGUCCCCGUAGACGACGCCCUUCAGGUAGACUCGCUUGAACUCCUCAAACACAAAGUCCUCUGAUUCACUGCAGACGGACGAGAGAAGGAGCUGAUUGAUGUGACACCAGGGUGACACAUCGAUAAUAAUCUCAACUGAUCAAUGAUUAUUGAUCACUGAUCUCACCUCUCUUUGGCUAAAGGCACAACGUUCAGAUUGUAAAGAAAGAAAAGAGAGAUGUUUGUGUUCACAUGUAAAAGAAGAAAAAACACAUGAAUCCUCUACAGGAAAUCAAAUUAAAACAACAGGAAGAGGAGGAGUUUACCUGUUUCAGGGUUCGGGUUCAUCAGUUUGAAUGGCAGCUCCAGAGACACCUCACUGUAACACACACACACACACACACACACACACACACACACACACACACACAC
ensembl:lncRNA